rnacentral:rRNA from 1 species
AACGAACGCUGGCGGCAUGCCUAACACAUGCAAGUCGAACGAGACCUUCGGGUCUUGUGGCGCACGGGUGCGUAACGCGUGGGAACCUGCCCUUAGGUUCGGAAUAACUCCCCGUAAGGGGUGCUAAUACCGGAUAAUGUCUUCGGACCAAAGAUUUAUCGCCUUUGGAUGGGCCCGCGUUGGAUUAGCUAGUUGGUAGGGUAAAAGCCUACCAAGGCGACGAUCCAUAGCUGGUCUGGGAGGAUGAUCAGCCACACUGGGACUGAGACACGGCCCAGACUCCUACGGAACGCAGCAGAGGGGAAUAUAGGACAAUGGGCGAAAGCCUGAUCCAGCAAUGCCGCGUGAGUGAUGAAGGCCUUAGGGUUGUAAAGCUCUUUUACCCGGGAUGAUAAUGACAGUACCGGGAGAAUAAGCUCCGGCUAACUCCGUG